rnacentral:rRNA from 1 species
GAUUAAGUUAUUAAGGGCGCACGGUGGAUGCCUUGGCACUAGAAGCCGAUGAAGGACGUUACUAACAACGAUAUGCUUUGGGGAGCUGUAAGUAAGCUUUGAUCCAGAGAUUUCCGAAUGGGGAAACCCAGCAUGAGUUAUGUCAUGUUAUCGAUAUGUGAAUACAUAGCAUAUCAGAAGGCACACCCGGAGAACUGAAACAUCUUAGUACCCGGAGGAAGAGAAAGAAAAUUCGAUUCCCUUAGUAGCGGCGAGCGAAACGGGAAGAGCCCAAACCAACAAGCUUGCUUGUUGGGGUUGUAGGACACUCUAUACGGAGUUACAAAGGACGACAUUAGACGAAUCAUCUGGAAAGAUGAAUCAAAGAAGGUAAUAAUCCUGUAGUCGAAAAUGUUGUCUCUCUUGAGUGGAUCCUGAGUACGACGGAGCACGUGAAAUUCCGUCGGAAUCUGGGAGGACCAUCUCCUAAGGCUAAAUACUCUCUAGUGACCGAUAGUGAACCAGUACCGUGAGGGAAAGGUGAAAAGCACCCCGGAAGGGGAGUGAAAUAGAACCUGAAACCGUGUGCUUACAAGUAGUCAGAGCCCGUUAAUGGGUGAUGGCGUGCCUUUUGUAGAAUGAACCGGCGAGUUACGAUUUGAUGCAAGGUUAAGCAGUAAAUGUGGAGCCGUAGCGAAAGCGAGUCUGAAUAGGGCGUUUAGUAUUUGGUCGUAGACCCGAAACCAGGUGAUCUACCCUUGGUCAGGUUGAAGUUCAGGUAACACUGAAUGGAGGACCGAACCGACUUACGUUGAAAAGUGAGCGGAUGAACUGAGGGUAGCGGAGAAAUUCCAAUCGAACCUGGAGAUAGCUGGUUCUCUCCGAAAUAGCUUUAGGGCU